CGGAAGUCUACUGGACGAAUGCGGGAACGUUGCGAUAUUUCCUGCUUAAUAUUUUCAGAUAUGGGAAAAGCACUUAAGAUGAGCACACGUUUCAGGAACGUUAAAAUUAAGUUGGUGAGGAGGUCUAUUGCGGGCCCUGCGAAGUUUUCUUACCUCAGAUAAGGUCUUCCCCAGCCCAGCUACAAACAGACCCACCCUUCAGACCCUUCUAUUACAUCUCAACCUGCUGAACCUGAUGAUGUGACACAGAGCUGUUCUGAGAGUGCAUACAGUAAGGCAAAGGAGAGAGAGCUUCAUGCCUGGGAUGCAGUCAAGGAUGAGAUGCUUAAGAAUGUUUACUAUGAGCCAUCCUCCCUGGGGUUAUUCUUAUAUUUACCUGAAGCCCAUGGCACCCAUGCUGUGUACACAAAGGACAUGAAGGUCAUUGUCAGCACAGGACAGCUCUGCACCAUUACAGUCACCAUGUGUGCGUGUGAACCAGAAACCUGUACUCUUCUGAGAUAUGGGCUCUGACCAGCAACAGCCACAAGCCCCAGACAGACAGCCUUCUCCAUCCCUCUGCUAGAGCUUUCUGUUUCUCUGUCACUGGAGUGUCAGGUUUCUGUUGAGGGUUUUUGCAACACCCCAUAUCCCAUUUUAGGCAUCACCACUUCCGACAAAGAAGUUUGGUUGAUAUUUGCCCACAAUUAAAUGAUGGAACCAUAUGCCCAGCAUGUCCAAAGGCGGAUGGAGAUAUGAUUGUCACAUUGGAUGCCAACUUUGGCCUUGUGAGGAAUCAAAGCUCUGGGACAAGUGCGGUUGAUCCAUUACACAGAACCCGCAUGUUUAGAGGAAUACCUGCUAUCACAUCUUGACAGCUCAAAGCCUCAAGAGGACUGCAGUAAGCUGCUCUCAUUCAAGGUCUUCAACAGCUGGAAAGAAAAUGACAUCAAGCCACUGUGAUGUUUCACCCACAUGUACAAGACAUUAUAGACAUAUAAUAUAAUAUAAUAUAAUAAUUACUUUACUGCAUUACUUGUGCGGACAUGUUGUUUUACUAGGUCUGAUCUAUUUUAAAGCUUAGGCACUGUAUUUAAGCAUACAUAUCCCACUAGUCUGUCUGUAUGAGUACAAAAUUGUAAAAAUAAACUGUCUAUAAUUGUUACUGUACAAGCACAGUAAAAUAUUUAUAUAAAAAAUAUUGCACUACUGUUAUUUUGCAUAGAAUACAUUGUUCAACAAUAUUUUUGCACAUUCAUCCAACUGCAUUUAUUACCACUGUUCUCACGUUCCUGCUG